AACGCGAAGAACCUUACCAGGUCUUGACAUCCCUCUGACCGUCCUAGAGAUAGGGCUUUCCUUCGGGACAGAGGAGACAGGUGGUGCAUGGUUGUCGUCAGCUCGUGUCGUGAGAUGUUGGGUUAAGUCCCGCAACGAGCGCAACCCUUGAACUUAGUUGCCAGCACGUUAAGGUGGGCACUCUAGGUUGACUGCCGGUGACAAACCGGAGGAAGGCGGGGAUGACGUCAAAUCAUCAUGCCCCUUAUGACCUGGGCUACACACGUACUACAAUGGCCGGUACAACGGGUCGCGAAGCCGCGAGGCGGAGCCAAUCCCAGCAAAGCCGGUCUCAGUUCGGAUUGCAGGCUGCAACUCGCCUGCAUGAAGUCGGAAUUGCUAGUAAUCGCGGAUCAGCAUGCCGCGGUGAAUACGUUCCCGGGCCUUGUA
rnacentral:rRNA from 1 species